AGCAGUAGCCGCGGGAAUACGUAGGGUGCGAGCGUUAAUCGGAAUUACUGGGCGUAAAGCGUGCGCAGGCGGUUCGUUAAGACAGAUGUGAAAUCCCCGGGCUUAACCUGGGAACUGCAUUUGUGACUGGCGAGCUAGAGUAUGGCAGAGGGGGGUAGAAUUCCACGUGUAGCAGUGAAAUGCGUAGAGAUGUGGAGGAAUACCGAUGGCGAAGGCAGCCCCCUGGGCCAAUACUGACGCUCAUGCACGAAAGCGUGGGGAGCAAACAGGAUUAGAUACCCGGGUAGUCCCUGUCUCUUAUAC
rnacentral:rRNA from 1 species